GUGUGGACACCGGUAGAGGCGUCACGCGUGGGACGCUUGGUCGACAAUUUUAAAUAUUCCAGAGACUGUCCCAGGAAGCCACAUGCAAGUCUGGAGUUGAGACUGUGGACGGCCAGCGAGUCUACCACCAGGAUCCGCGAUCGAAUCUGAGGUCUGUCAGCAAGAAGAUGGCAACGCCCAAAAACCUCCUAAAACACCAUCACUGUGUCUGAGAAAAUGAUGAAAGGAGAGGUAAAGAGGGAGGGAGCCACCAAGAACGAAAACUAUCAAGAGAGAAAGUAUGGCCUCAGUUUUCGAUCUCGGUGGCGGUGGUACUGGAUGUGCUCAGUCGGAGCCGGACGCGUCGGUGAAGGUUGUUGGAUUUAGGGUUUUUGUUGGGUUGGUUGUAGAGAGGAUAAAUGAGAAGAAAAGUAAGGAUAAGAGAGGGGUAACAUAAUGUAAUGUAAAGAUUGGGAUGUAACGUAAUGUAAAGUCAUGUAAUAUAAUGCAAUGCAAAGAUUGGGUAAUGUAAUAUAAUGUAAAGUAAUGCAAAGAUUGGGAUAGAUAGAAAGGAGAGCACUCUCCAUUUUCCACAUCUUCCCUUAUCUUUCGCUUUC